CUGUUUUGCAGAGAGAGAACAUGGUAUUAUCAAACGUGCCCGAAGAGUACCUGGACCUGAAGGAAGUGUUCAGUAAGUCCCGUGCUGCUUCUCUGCCUCCGCAUCGUCCCUACGACUGUGCCAUAGACUUAGUGCCAGAGAAGUCUCCGCCUAAAGUUUAGGUUACCAGCCACCAGUUUUUCCCAGUCUGGAAUCUGAAGUCGCGGUCCCCUCCGCUCACGCGUUUGUCCAGAGGUGCCACCGCACCUGGACCAGAGCCCGCGAGACUCUGCUCCGGAUGAGGGAGCGCACUAAGGCCAAGGCCGAUCGCCACCGGUCAAAGCCUCCCGUUUACAUCGUGGGUCAAAAAGUGUGGCUUUCUACCAAUAACA
ensembl:lncRNA